AGACAGUUCGGUCCCUAUCUGCCGUGGGCGUUUGAGAUUUGAGAGGAGCUGCUCCCAGUACGAGAGGACCGGAGUGGACGGACCUCUGGUGUUCCGGUUGUCACGCCAGUGGCAUCGCCGGGUAGCUACGUCCGGACGGGAUAACCGCUGAAAGCAUCUAAGCGGGAAGCCCCCCUCGAGAUGAGAUCUCACUAAAUCUCCAAGAUUUCUUAAGGGCCCUCGUAGACUACGAGGUUGAUAGGCGGGAUGUGUAAGCGCUGCGAGGCGUUGAGCUAACCCGUACUAAUUGCCCGUGAGGCUUGACCAUAUAACCGAG
rnacentral:rRNA from 1 species